rnacentral:rRNA from 1 species
UACGUAGGUGGCAAGCGUUAUCCGGAAUUAUUGGGCGUAAAGCGCGCGCAGGCGGUUUCUUAAGUCUGAUGUGAAAGCCCACGGCUCAACCGUGGAGGGUCAUUGGAAACUGGGGAACUUGAGUGCAGAAGAGAAAAGCGGAAUUCCACGUGUAGCGGUGAAAUGCGUAGAGAUGUGGAGGAACACCAGUGGCGAAGGCGGCUUUUUGGUCUGUAACUGACGCUGAGGCGCGAAAGCGUGGGGAGCGAACAGG